rnacentral:rRNA from 1 species
AGAGUUUGAUCCUGGCUCAGGACGAACGCUGGCGGCGUGCUUAACACAUGCAAGUCGAGCGAUGAAGUUUCUUCGGAAAUGGAUUAGCGGCGAACGGGUGAGGAACACGUGAAGAAUCUGCCCUCCACUUUGGGAUAACACCGGGAAACCGGUGCUAAUACCGAAUAUUGAAACAUAAGUGGCAUCACUGAGUUUUGAAAGAAUUUCGGUGGAGGAUGACUUCGCGGCCUAUCAGCUAGUUGGUGAGGUAAUGGCUCACCAAGGCAACGACGGGUAGCCGGCCUGAGAGGGCGACCGGCCACACUGGGACUGAGACACGGCCCAGACUCCUACGGGAGGCAGCAGUGGGGAAUAUUGGGCAAUGGAGGAAACUCUGACCCAGCGACGCCGCGUGCGGGAUGAAGGCCUUCGGGUUGUAAACCGCUUUCAGUAGGGAAGAAGCGAAAGUGACGGUACCUACAAAAGAAGCACCGGCUAACUAUGUGCCAGCAGCCGCGGUAAUACAUAGGGUGCAAGCGUUGUCCGGAAUUAUUGGGCGUAAAGAGCUCGUAGGUCGUUUGUUACGUCGGAUGUGAAAACCUGAGGCUCAACCUCAGGCCUGCAUUCGAUACGGGCAAACUAGAGUUUGGUAGGGGAGACUGGAAUUCCUGGUGUAGCGGUGGAAUGCGCAGAUAUCAGGAGGAACACCAAUGGCGAAGGCAGGUCUCUGGGCCAAUACUGACACUGAGGAGCGAAAGUCUGGGGAGCGAACAGGAUA